rnacentral:tRNA from 1 species
GGGGCCUUAGCUCAAUUGGUAGAGCACCACCUUUGCAAGGUGGGGGUCAGGGGUUCGAUUCCCCUAGGCUCCACAA